CCCUUAGAUGUUCUGGGCUGCACGCGCGCUACACUGACGCACGCAACAGGUGCCUGCUCCGAGAGGACUGGGUAAUCAUUUGAGUGUGCGUCGUGAUGGGGAUAGAAUAUUGUAAUUAUUACUCUUCAACGAGGAAUUCCUAGUAAGCGCCAGUCAGCAGCUUGCGCUGAUUACGUCCCUGCCCUUUGUAAACACCGCCCGUCGCUCCUACCGAUGGGUGAUCCGGUGAAUGAUUCGGACUUCAGCGGCUCCCCUGGGGUGCGCCGGAGAAAGUUUUGUGAACCUUAUCACUUGGAGGAAGGAGAAGUCGUAACA
rnacentral:rRNA from 1 species